AUUGAACGCUGGCGGCAGGCCUAACACAUGCAAGUCGAGCGGAUGAAUGGAGCUUUCUCUUGGCUUCCGCGGCCGACGGGUGUGUAAUUCCUACGUAUCUGCCUUGUCGUUGGGGAUAACGUCCGUUCACGGGCGCUAAUACCGCAUACGUCCUGAUGUUGAACCUGGGGGUUCUUCGGACCUCACGCUAUUUGCUGUGCCUUGGUCGGAUUUGCUAGUUGGUUGGGUAAAGGCCUACCAAGGCGACGAUCCGUAGCUGGUCUGAGAGGAUGAUCUGCCACACUGGAACUGAGACACGGUCCAGACUCCUACGGGAGGCAGCAGUGGGGAAUAUUGGACAAUGGGCGAAAGCCUGAUGGAGCAAUGCCGCGUGAGUGAAGAAGGUCUUCGGAUUGUAAAGCACUGUUAGUAGGGAAGAAGAGAAGUAAGAUAAAAUAUGGAUGUUUUGACGGUACCAAAAGAAAAAGCACCGGCUAACUUCGUG
rnacentral:rRNA from 1 species